AUGUUGUUAGUAUAAUUUAUUAUAUCAUUUUUCCAAAGUGAUGAUCUAGAUUUUAGGCAACAUA
rnacentral:tRNA from 2 species